UACGGAGGGUGCAAGCGUUAUCCGGAUUCACUGGGUUUAAAGGGUGCGUAGGCGGGUAGGUAAGUCAGAGGUGAAAUCCCCGAGCUUAACUCGGAAACUGCCUUUGAUACUAUCUAUCUUGAAUAUUGUGGAGGUAAGCGGAAUAUGUCAUGUAGCGGUGAAAUGCUUAGAUAUGACAUAGAACACCUAUUGCGAAGGCAGCUUACUACGCAUAUAUUGACGCUGAGGCACGAAAGCGUGGGGAUCAAACAGG
rnacentral:rRNA from 1 species